GUUAAGAUGGCAGAGCCCGGUAAUUGCAAAAGACCUAAGCCCUUUCAAUCAGAGGUUCAAUUCCUCUUCUUAAC
rnacentral:tRNA from 2 species